rnacentral:rRNA from 1 species
UACGUAGGGUGCAAGCGUUGUCCGGAAUUAUUGGGCGUAAAGAGCUCGUAGGCGGUUCGUCGCGUCGGCUGUGAAAACCCGGAGCUCAACUCCGGGCCUGCAGUCGAUACGGGCGGACUUGAGUGUUGCAGGGGAGACUGGAAUUCCUGGUGUAGCGGUGAAAUGCGCAGAUAUCAGGAGGAACACCAAUGGCGAAGGCAGCUCGCUGGGACGGUACUGACGCUGAGGCGCGAAAGCGUGGGGAGCAAACAGG